rnacentral:tRNA from 1 species
UCCCUGCUGGCUCAGAUGGGAAAGAGUCUGCCUACAAUGCGGGAGACCCGGGUUCAAUCCCCGGGUUGGGAA